GGAACCGUCCUUCGUGGGCGAUCGGACGUCCAUCACGGCCGCAGAGUCGUCACUGGCCCUGGGCGAGUCCACCAUGAUUGAAUCUGGAUCGUCCUGCGGGAGAGACUGCUUGCUGGUUCCCAACAGAUUCAAGGCUGGCAGACGGAAGCAGAAGAAUCUUCCUUUUCCUGGAGAUAUUCGGGGAAAAAAUGUGUAGAACGUUUCAUGAUAUGAUCAAACAAAUCCACUGCUUCCCCAUGGAAUUCAGUGUUUCCUCUCCAGUACAUCACCGCUUUGAAGAGUAAAUUGGAGUACACAGUACACACUUUCUAAUAAAUAAGGUCUACUUCAAGAGGAAGCUCUUUCGACUGUACAGGACUGCAAGUGUGGCGGAAAUCAAUGACAUGCACAAGAUGCGCUUACUAUAGACUUUAUGUUCCUUUCACUUCCAUUCGUGCACAUGAGAGAGCGGGAACACAAGCAUAUGCCAAGAAAUAUGUGAACAAAUUUCAAGUUUGACCUGCAAAUUUGUGUAGAGCAUCUCUUACAAAACUAAAGGAUUUAAUACAAGUGGUGUAGACGGCAUAUUUUAACAUUAUGAAUUUGUUAUUAUUUGUAAUGUAUUAUUAAAAACAGAAGCCCUACGUGACGUUAUAUCCUGUUUGCUUCGGCAUCCUGCAUAAGUUCUAGAGAUUGAGCAAUAUUAUUUUUGUUUGCUGAUAGCAAUACAGAUGUGUCCAACUGAUGAUUCAUUUAAAAAUAAUUUAAAAAAAUUAUCGUUAAACUACAUCAUGGAUUACUGUAAUAAUAAAAAUAGCAUUAUUUAUAUACCAUUAUAGUUUUUAAUAUUUUUUGAAUUAGCUUUUAUUUCUAUAAUUUCAGUUUUUUUAUUUUAUUUUUAGUAACUUUAUGUGCUUUUUGUCCUUUUUAUUAGUUUUAUAUUUCUAUAUAGUUUAAAUUCAUUUUCAGUCAUUUUAGUACUUCAAUUUAAAUUAAUUUAUUUCAGGUAGUGGCCAAGGCAAUAUUUUUAAUUUCAAGUUUUUAAGUUUUUCUGCUAAUAUUUGUAUUAUACUUUUCUUUUUCAGCUUUUUUUUUUCAAUUACAAAAAAAAAAAAGAAAAAAAAAGAAAAGAAAUGUUGUUUAGCUUUCUAAAUGAUCACAUAUUUAUUUUAUCAAUUUUAGUUUUCUUAUUGUUUUGGACUGUGUAACCAUUGAGCUACAAAUUAUGGAAACUUGUUUCAGCCACUAAAUAAAAAAAAUAAAGGUAA